UACGUAGGGGGCAAGCGUUGUCCGGAAUCAUUGGGCGUAAAGCGCGUGUAGGCGGCCCGAUAAGUCCGCUGUGAAAGUCCAGGGCUCAACCCUGGGAUGCCGGUGGAUACUGUCGGGCUCGAGUCCGGAAGAGGAGUGUGGAAUUCCUGGUGUAGCGGUGAAAUGCGCAGAUAUCAGGAGGAACACCAAUGGGCGAAGGCAGGCAC
rnacentral:rRNA from 1 species